rnacentral:rRNA from 1 species
AUUGAACGCUGGCGGCAGGCCUAACACAUGCAAGUCGAACGAGUGGCGGACGGGUGAGUAAUGUCUGGGAAACUGCCUGAUGGCGGGGGAUAACUCCUGGAAACGGUAGCUAAUCCCGCAUACCAUCAGAUGUGCCCAGAUGGGAUUAGCUAGUUGGUGGGGUAACGGCUCACCAAGGCGACGCUCCCUAGUUGGUCUGAGAGGGUGAACAGCCACACUGGAACUGAGACACGGUCCAGACUCCUACGGGAGGCAGCAGUGGGGAAUAUUGAACAAUGGGCGAAAGCCUGAGACAGCCAUGCCGCGUGUAUGAAGAAGGCCUUCGGGUUGUAAAGUACUUUCAGCGGGGAGGCGGUACCCGCAGAAGAAGCACCGGCUAACUCCGUGCCAGCAGCCGCGGUAAUAC